rnacentral:tRNA from 1 species
UGGGAUGUGGCUCAGUGGUAGAGCACUUGCCUUGCAUAUAUAAAGCACUGUGUUCAAUUCUCAGCACCACAU